GUACACGCUGUGACUAGCAUAUCAAUAAGCGGAGGAAAAGAAACUAACAAGGAUUCCCCUAGUAACGGCGAGUGAAGCGGGAAGAGCUCAAAUUUGAAAUCUUAAAGGGUUUCCCUUUACGAAUUGUAGUUUAAAGAAGUGUUUUCUGUUGAGGUUUUGGUAAAAGUUCUUUGGAAUAGGACAUCAUAGAGGGUGAGAAUCCCGUAUUUGACCUUUACUUUCAACUUUGUGAUACACUUUCAAAGAGUCGGAUUGUUUGGGAAUGCAGUCCAAAAUGGGUGGUAAAUUUCAUCUAAAGCUAAAUAUUGGCGAGAGACCGAUAGCGAACAGGUACCGUGAGGGAAAGAUGAAAAGAACUUUGAAAAGAGAGUUAAACAGUACGUGAAAUUGUCAAAAGGGAAGCGUUUGACACCAGUGUUGUUUUUCUGGAAAUCAAUUAAAGAACUGUUUAUGCUAAGUUGUUUAGACUUUAUCAGCUAACUGUUUAGUUUUGAGCUUUUCUUUAAUGCACUUUUCAGUUAACAAGUCAACAUCAAUUUCUUUUGCUGUAAAAAAGCUUGAGGAAGGUGGCUUGAGAUUCGUCUUAAGUGUUUAUAGCCUCUUGCCUAUGCAGUCGGAGAGAUUGAGGUCUGCAGCGUAGAUCCUUCGGGGCUAAAUGCAUUUGUGCUAAGUUAUAGCAUUUUAUAGACAACUUGUUGACUAUGAUUUGUCUUGUAGCUUACUCGCUUAUGUUAUUUUACCUACGCUUAGGAUGUUGAAGAUGUAGCACAUCAU
rnacentral:rRNA from 1 species